UUUGUCUCUAUCAUUUGUAUUGGAUUACGUAACAGAGAGAGCGCCAUACUGACUUCUUUCCGUGGAUAGCGUUAU